CACGCUGUAAACGAUGAGUGCUCGCUGAUGGAGGUCUAUACCCUUUCAUUGGCAAAGCUAACGCAUUAAGCACUCCGCCUGGGGAAUACGGUCGCAAGACUAAAACUCAAAGGAAUUGACGGGGGCCCGCACAAGCAGUGGAGUAUGUGGUUUAAUUCGACGCAACGCGCAGAACCUUACCCGGUCUUGACAUCCUUGGAACUCCCUUGAAAGAGGGAGGUGCUAUCGCAAGGUAGAGCCAAGAGACAGGUGC
rnacentral:rRNA from 1 species